rnacentral:rRNA from 1 species
UACGUAGGGUGCAAGCGUUAUCCGGAAUUAUUGGGCGUAAAGAGCUCGUAGGCGGUUUGUCGCGUCUGCUGUGAAAACUGGGGGCUCAACCCCCAGCCUGCAGUGGGUACGGGCAGACUAGAGUGCGGUAGGGGAGAUUGGAAUUCCUGGUGUAGCGGUGGAAUGCGCAGAUAUCAGGAGGAACACCAGUGGCGAAGGCGCCACUCUGGGCCGUAACUGACGCUGAGGAGCGAAAGCGUGGGUAGCAAACAGG